UUCCCUCACUAUCAUGAGAACAGCAUGGG
rnacentral:piRNA from 1 species